CGUAAGGCGCCGAAUGAGUCAUUAAAAAUUAACAUCAUCCGAUCCCUAGUCGGCAUAGUUUAUGGUUAAGACUACGACGGUAUCUGAUCGUCUUCGAUCCCCUAACUUUCGUUCUUGAUUAAUGAAAACAUCCUUGGCAAAUGCUUUUCGCAGUAGUUAGUCUUCAAUAAAUCCAAGAAUUUCACCUCUGACAAUUGAAUACUAAUGCCCCCAACUAUCCCUAUUAAUCAUUACGUCAAUCCUAAGAAACCAACAAAAUAGGAUCGAACGUCCUAUUUCAUUAUUCCAUGCUAAUGUAUUCAAGCGUUAG
rnacentral:rRNA from 1 species